rnacentral:rRNA from 1 species
UGGGGAAUAUUGCACAAUGGAGGAAACUCUGAUGCAGCGACGCCGCGUGAGUGAAGAAGGUCUUCGGAUCGUAAAACUCUGUCCUUGGUGACGAAAAAAAUGACGGUAGCCAAGGAGGAAGCCCCGGCUAACUACGUGCCAGCAGCCGCGGUAAUACGUAGGGGGCGAGCGUUGUCCGGAUUUACUGGGCGUAAAGGGUGAGUAGGCGGUAAUAUGUGUCAGAUGUAAAAGGCUAUGGCUUAACCAUAGUUGGCAUUUGAAACUGUAUUACUUGAGUGCAGGAGAGGUAAGUGGAAUUCCUAGUGUAGCGGUGAAAUGCGUAGAUAUUAGGAAGAACACCAGUGGCGAAGGCGACUUUCUGGACCGUAACUGACGCUGAGGCAUGAAAGCGUGGGGAGCAAACA